ensembl:lncRNA
AAAUGGGUGGACUUUAUUAAUAACACAGGCGCGGGGUGUGAUAAGGAAGCUUCUGAAGGCAAUCUGUCCAAAAUAAGAAAACCAAGGUUCACCUGGAAGCACCCCAAGGAGAAGCACCAACACAGAAGGCGCAGUGGGCUCACAGCCUGGUGCUCGCCAUGGCACCCACUUCAUCGUAGCUGGAGCCUGAGGACCAGGACACUGGCAAGGGGGGCUCCCCUCCCACUGCUGAAGGGCCAGUUCCCUGCAGCAGGAUGGGCAGGUCACCUGAGGCUGGGAAGGAGACUUUGUGAGCAGGCCACCAGGUCCUAGGGGCGACUCAACCAUCCGUGAGAGAGAGAUCACCCUAGAUACCCGCUCUAGGGAGGCUGUUGGGUUUGUCAGAAAGACACAACCGGCAGGAGUUCAUUGGUGUCCCUGGAAGGAGAGACGGACGGAGAAGCGGGGGCGGGAGGGACACCCCCACCCAGAGGGCUGCCUGGCUUGCAUGGCUGCCCGCCUGUCCUCCUGGCUCCCAACCCCAAGGCAUCACGUGGCAGAGUGGGCAGUGCAGAGGUGGACGAGACCAGCUUUGAGCUUUGGCCCCUCUGGCCCUUCCCAGGGAGCUUUGGCUCAGGUGCUUAACUCCCCUGGGUGGGCUCAGGUAUGCUCUGCCCCCCCACCCAACCACUGGAGCAGAGUGUGGGGUCCCAGGGAUGGGGUCGAGGCUUGUUGGUAUGUAGGUACUUCCUUUAACCCCUCACAUGCUCUGGGUGGCGUGGCUGAGUCUCCUCAGGGCAAGGGGCCCCGGGGAGCCCAGGGCCGCUGAGAGAGCCAGGAGCUAGCCAGGUUGUAGAGGCCCUGGGAGGCGUGCAGAUAUUUGUGUGCCCUCCCAACCAUGCCCCUCAGGCGUCUGGUCCUCCUGGGAGCACCAGGCUCCUCUUCCUGGCUCCUCACUCCACACACCUGGUCCCCACCCACCAGUGAGGACCUGUGCCAAGUGUCACAUCUCCGUGCUAACUCUGCCCAGCAUGCGUCCUUAUCUGACCCUUUUCUGGUUUGUCCAGUGAUUGUCCGGAGACCCCCGAGACCCUGCCCUCCCUGCACCCUUUCCAGAUGACCAGGCUGCCAGUACCUGCCUGGCGCUCGCGCACCAUCCGUUAAUGACAAGCUCCGCCUAUGUGCUCCAUCGGGGACGGACGCCACUCUCCUCAGAAACUGCGGGGAGCCGAGGACAUGCAGGAGGCCGAGGAAGGGAACUAGCCUGACAGCACGGUUCCAAAGGCAGGGUUCCUCACCGAGGAACAAAGCCUACCCGCUGGCACAGUUCCGAGGGCAGGUUUAGAAAUAGGGGAAAGGGCUUACCUGGCAGCACAGUUCCGAGGGCAAGUUCUAAAAAUAAUGAGGUUCACCUGCUAACCCGACAACAGCAUCAACAAUAACAAGAUGAAGGCUUUGCACAACAGUACAAGAAUAAAACCACUUCUGGGAAAAAUCAGUCUUUCUUGUUAUUUACUUAUUAUUCAAUCUUUCCUGUUAUUUGUUUGUUAUUUUUUGUUAUUCUCCUAUAUUGUUUUGUGACUCAAUAAAAUUGGAACAACAAAAAAUUGGAACAUAAUAAAAUAAUAAGAGCUUCACUUUGGUUGAAUUCCCCCUAUUCAGAUCCAAUGUAGGGAAAAACAAAGUAUUCGUUAGUUUGUUACAAGUAAGAAUGGGUUGUAGAGUUAGGCAAUUGUGCUAUGUACCAUAGCUUACGAAUAGGUUAGACAUACAUGGAAAAACAUAAUAAUCUUGCUUUUAAUGAAUUUUGUAAUAAGCUUUUAAGUUUUAUGAAACUAAGUUGCUUUGAUAUAAAAAAAUAUUUUCUCAUACUGUCCCCUGACCAUAACGCUUUGAAGUUAGCACCCCAAGCUUUAAUCCAAAACAUGAGUUUUUGUAAAUGUCAAAUUCUUAUGCUUGUGACCUUUCUAGUUGUUAAAGAUUAGCUUAAAACAAUAACAGGUGGUGCUUGCUAAAAGUAACCACAAAACGUUUUUUACCGAAUCGCCUUAUUUUCAUAUAAGGUUUUUUCCACAUGAUGUUUUGUACCCAUUGUAGUGUUACAUGAUGUAUUGUAUCCGUUGGUUUUCAUUAAAAUCCUUAGAAUACAAUGUAUAUCUACUGUACCAUGUAAUCUAAAAGUUUAACCUUUAAGAAUAUGACCUAAGCACUGUAAUGUAAGUUACAAUUAAGCUAUCCAUAUAAACUGCUACCUAUGCUAAUGAAAUUUGAGCAGUCCAGCGCCCUGAGAGAAGGGACAAAGAGGCGGUCUCCGUGUGCAUCCCCGACACUGUCCAUCCCCGCAGGGACACCCUGGCUGCUGGAGCUGGACUCCGGCAGGAAACAUUCCCACAGGGGCUCCGGGAAGGCCGUGGUGGCUCUGCCGCCCUGUCCUGGUGUCAGAGUGAGGGCAGGGGUGUAAGAGCCCUCACACUCCCUGGGCAGAGAGUCUCCAGGCUGCAGGUUUGCACCGCUCGAGUCCCCUGGGUCUUCGAGGAUCUGCUCCUAGACAACUUCAGAGGAGACAUCCCUGUGUCCCUGGGAUCCUGCAAAGGGGCCCAUGGAGAGAGACCCUCCCCAGAGACCCUCUCCCUAGAGAAAACCAGCCUCAGUACAGGUGGGGGGCCGUCUGCUCUGCCAGGGCUGCCUGUGACCACAGCGGGAGUUUGCAGCUGACAGUGUCCUCGAAUCCCCAGUUCUAGGCCCGAUGACCCAGGCCCUCGGCAGCCCAGGAGCUGGGAACCCCCGGCCCCGGGCACCCAGGGCUCACAGGGUCUAUCUUCUCCAGCGUCCUGCUGACUUUCCCCACCCCCACAGCUCCGCCCCUGCUUCCAAGUGACCAAAAGUGGGAGCUGGAGUCCAGCCGUGCCCAGGGGCAGCAGCUCUGCACCUUUGCGUUUGCAGGGGCAGCUGGGAGCCCACGGGGGUCGGACAGGUCGGGAAGCUGGGUUCAGGGAAGUGAUGGAAUCCAGGUCAGGUCUCGGGAGGGAUGGCGUGACCGAUGUGCAGUCUGCUACUUGCCUGUGCGAGCAUCAGCCUAAACCCAGACAGUAGGACUAAAACCCCUUCCUCCUUCAGAGGGUCCAAAGAUUUGGGCUUCCCGGAGCAUGGACACGGCCACGCCGCACUGCAGCUCCCGGCGCACCGUGUGGGCCGUGGCAAGGUCCAGGUCGGCGUCACAGACGGUGCCCAGGUCAGGCCAUGUCUCACCUCCAGGCGCCCAGCGCAGGGGUGCCCACCCCCCGCCAGCCAGGCCUGUGUGUGUCCUGGGGGCAGACAGACAGGGCAGCCUGAGCACACAGUCCUCCUUCUUCCCUCCCUCGGAAGCUUCAUGGGUAACUCUACUUCCCGUCAGGGACCCCCCGCCACGCACCACAGUCUCUUCCUGCACCCGACCCUCCCACAACUUCCUGCGAGUGCUGGGAACCCCACACGCCAGAGCAGUGGGUCCAUGAGUGUUCACAGAGCUGGUCAGGUGGUGCCCAUCCCUCCUUGAAAGGCCAUGGUCCUGUCCCACCCACCACACCAGCCUGCCCAGAUGCACUGCAUGGCAGCAGGUUCCAUGAUCCCAAGGUGGGAAGGUAGAGAGGAGAAAACCACAGGGCCCCCCAGGACAUGGUGCCUGAGCUGCCAGCUUCCUCCCCAGUCCAGACUCAGAGAGCCCCAAGCUCUUCUGUAGGCUCAGGCAGUUGACUGAAGGCUCAGACUGUCCCACGUGUUUCCAGUAAGUCCCAACUAUGGCUGAAGUUAGCUUAGAGAUGCUCAAAGCUGGCUGCAUGUCUCUCAUGUAGGGAAGCCCUGAAAAAUCCCCUAAAGCUUCUGAGGGACUCCCCCCCACCAGGGGGAGCCCAGUGGAGACCCCAGGAAACAGCCCUGAGGGCCACUGAGCCAUCCACUGUUUGCACCUCCCGCAGAGAAGGGUGGAAAAAAGGGCCCACUGUCUGUCCUGCGCCCGCUGCUCCUGCUGCUCCUUCAGCACCCACGGCGAGGAGCUAGAGGCACAGACCCAGUCACAUGGAGACAGGCUCACCCACGGCACCCCCACACUCCCACACCCAGUAGGUGAGCCAAGAUGUUUCUGGUCCCUCCUGCCCCUUUAUUUAUUGAGGUCCUUAGGGCUGAGUAUCAAUCACUUACAAGCAGGCCCCGGGCAGUGGCUCUGAGGUCGGGCACAGGUCAGCCUCCUUCCACCUCCCAGGGCCACCUCCCAAGCUACAACUGCAACCAUCCAGCUUUUCCUUUGAACACUGUAAAACCAACCCUGUUCCACAAACUCCAUCCGCAUGGACUCCUUGAUGGCGGUGCCUUGAAGUCUGCCAGUGUAACACGCACGAGACCACUUGCAGGAGCCCUUGGAGGAAUGCGCUCCUCUGUCGGAAAAAUUCUCAAAAAGCCUGCUUCUGAAGCUGAGAUGCUGAAAACAAGAGGAAUGUGGCGUUUCUGGAGAAAUCGCUCUCUCCCUCCCUUAAACCCCAGGAAAUAUUCCUAACAUCUUGAAAUGUUGGCACCAAUCUAGAGGUCACUGAGCUGACCCCCAAGGGGACACACAGGCCUAGAACCAAAGAAGUUAUGAGCUUCUCCAGGCCACCCGGCGUUAGUCCCAGGACACCAGAUCCAAAGCGAUAGUGCUGAGAAAUAAAAAUGGUGCCUGUCCUAUCAGCAAACAAAAGAUGUCACAGGCAUCAGCUACUGCAGCCACCCCCAAGGGUGAGCAGGGAGCCCUGAGGGCACACGGGAAGGAAAUGAAGACCACCUGCCAUCUAGCAGCCACAAGACUGCAGCCUCUCCCCAGGGUGAGCCGGGUGAGCCCCGAGGGAGCUCAGGCUGUGAAACCACAAGAUGCUGGCCCCGAGAGCUGAGGUGUGCACCACAGGAGUGAUUGCUGUGAGCCCAGACCUUACGUCUCCCGGGCUCAGAAAAGCACCAGGCCCUUGAGAUGCCUCGUUUUCUGUUAUUAGCAACACUCUUUGCUCCCCCCACCUGCCCUUUGUUGCAAAACUCCUGCAGAUCCCGGCGCCUCCCUCGCCAACUCAGAGCACUUUUCUCGGGGUCACUUGAGAGGCUGCCUCCUGGGCUUAAGUCCUCAGUUUUGUCCACCAAAUAAAAUCUAAUUCUCAACUUUCAGGGUGUGCAUAUUUUUUUAGUCGACAGGGUUCUGGAAUGAUCAGGGAGUAGGCUUCCAAGGGACUGGGCCAGGAGAGCAACCUUCUUACCCGAGCAGACGACCUCACCAGCCAGGACACAGGCUUAAAGAUCGCCCGGCUGGCCUUGCAGUUCAGCACAGCUGGCUCAGAGCCCUCACACACAACACACUGCUGCCCCUUUCCAGAACCUCUGUCUCUGGUACGGGGCUGAGCCACACCCCAGCUCCCUGCAGAGGACAGUGAAGGUGGGGUCGGCUGAUGGCUGCUCACAGUAUGUCAAUGUCUGGCUGGAACAUGCUCGGCCCCGGGACCCCGCACAGGGGCUCCGUCCCCUCACCGGUUUUAUCACUACGUCCAGACCCCCUGCAAAAAAGAACCCAUCCAUUUCACUGGCCUUGCAGAUAAACCUCUCCAGUUCCCCUCCUGGGGGCUGCUGGCUGCGUGGCCCCCUCCGUGUCCUCACAGAUUCUUCCCAGCCGUGUUCCCCGUCCACCUGCCUGGCUUUUCCCCCUGCAGCCAGGACCUCCCGGGGAGUCCUGCCCCUGCCUCCCAAAUCCUGCACUAGCCUUUCAACCCUGUCUCCUCCCCACAUACCCUGAACAUCCCACCUGAAUGUGGGACAGGACCUCUCCAAGGAGAGGCAACUCAAGAAGCCUCUGGCCAAGGUAAGAAUUGCCCUUAUUGUAAUGGUCUCAUUGUAACGGCUGCCCAGGUCUCAAGUUCUCACACAACCUGGCUGCUCCUUCCCGCCCCCACUAGGAAAGGUAUGCAGCCCCCUCCUCACCCUGCCCUAUGGGGACACAUAUGCCCCCAACCAACCAGCAGGUGUAUCCUAAGACCUCUCCUCGCUCCUUUGUCCCUGGGCUAGGAAAACAGACGCCCCACGCACCUGCUCUCCCUGAUGACCAGAGGUGGUCCCACUGGCUAGCAGUGCUGCUCAGCUCAAUCAGCUUAUCUUUCUUCUCACGUCGCUCUGAGAAUGGAAGUUUUUUCCAACGUGCACAUGGACCGCAACACCGAACAUCCCUCCGGAAGGAGAAAGGACAGUGACCUCCCCAACACAACAACCCUCCCACCGAGUCCCGCCUCUUCCAGGCCUUUGGUCCCACCUCAGCCUGGACGCAGUCAAAGGGCCACCAUCCAAGCCAAGGCACCUCUUUCACCAGGGGCCUCCUCCAGCUCCUGACCCGUUUCCUCUUUGUGAUCGUGCUCUUCUGAGAGUCUCCGCUCCCUCGGUGUCCGGCCCCACAGCCAGGUUAGGCCCCUUGCUCGCAUUGUCACCUGCGGUGCCCCUGAGAUUCCCGGGCUGCCUGCCUCCCUGGCCACCCUCAGUCCCCCAGCGAGCAACAGUUCACACACAUGCUGAGCCUGCAGCUGGAUGAGUGUAGACAAAUGCGUUUCCACGCAACCACCACCCGACCAAGACCCAGGCUGUGCACCCCAGAGAGUUCCCAAGCUUGGCACGAACGGCUGACAAGCCCAUGAGGCGCCGUGACU